rnacentral:rRNA from 1 species
UGGGGGAGUAUUGCACGAUGGGGGGAACCCGUGAUGCAGCGACGCCGCGUGGGUGAAGAAGCGCCUCGGCGCGUAAAGCCCUGUCAGCAGGGAAGAAAAUGACGGUACCUGAAGAAGAAGCCCCGGCUAACUACGUGCC